rnacentral:rRNA from 1 species
UACGGAGGGUGCAAGCGUUGUCCGGAAUUAUUGGGCGUAAAGGGCGCGUAGGCGGUCCAUCGCGUCGGGAGUGAAAAGCUGGGGCUUAACCCCAGACCUGCUUUCGAUACGGGUGGACUAGAGGUAGGCAGGGGAGAGCGGAAUUCCUGGCGUAGCGGUGAAAUGCGCAGAUAUCAGGAGGAACACCGGUGGCGAAGGCGGUUCUCUGGGCCUUACCUGACGCUGAGGAGCGAAAGCGUGGGGAGCAAACAGG